rnacentral:rRNA from 1 species
AACGAACGCUGGCGGCAUGCCUAACACAUGCAAGUCGAACGCGUGGAGCGAUCCACGAGUGGCGCACGAGUGAGUAACGCGUGGGAACCUGCCCUGGAGUUUGGGAUAACCCGGCGAAAGCCGGGCUAAUACCGCAUACGACCUGAGGGUGAAAGAUUUAUCGCUCUAGGAGGGGCCCGCGUUGGAUUAGCUAGUUGGUGAGGCAAUGGCUCACCAAGGCGAUGAUCCGUAGCUGGUCUGAGAGGAUGAUCAGCCACACUGGGACUGAGACACGGCCCAGACUCCUACGGGAGGCAGCAGUGGGGAAUAUUGGACAAUGGGGGCAACCCUGAUCCAGCAAUGCCGCGUGGGCGAUGAAGGCCUUCGGGUUGUAAAGCCCUUUUGCACGCGACGAUGAUGACGGUAGCGUGAGAAGAAGCCCCGGCUAACUUCGUGCCAGCCGCCGCAGUAA